rnacentral:rRNA from 1 species
AUCCUCGGGUGACAGGGAGCAGGUGGUGCAUGGUUGUCGUCAGCUCGUGUCGUGAGAUGUUGGGUUAAGUCCCGCAACGAGCGCAACCCCUACGUUUAGUUGCUAACGCGUGAAGGCGAGCACUCUAGACGAACUGCCGUUGACAAAACGGAGGAAGUGGGGAUGACGUCAAUCAUCAUGCCCCUUAUGUUCUGGGCUACACACGUGCUACAAUGGCCGGUACAGACGGACGCAAAGCCGCGAGGUGGAGCAAAUCCUAAAAAGCCGGUCUCAGUUCGGAUUGCAGGCUGCAAUUCGCCUGCAUGAAGUCGGAAUCGCUAGUAAUCGCAGGUCAGCAUACUGCGGUGAAUACGUUCCCGGGCCUU